GAGGGAGAGCAGGCAUAGCUCUGCCCUUGCCAGCUUUUGUGUCUCUGCUCCACCCAUCUUUCCUACCCAGAAUGCACUCUGCUUCUGAAGGAGGCAGUUGGAGAGAGUGGAAACCAUCCUCCUCUCCUCCGCCUUUUCCUCCUUUUCCUUUUCUUUACAUCAUCAAGGCUAACACCCAUAGAGCAUUUCUGUGCCAGUUGCUAUUCCCAGCACUUUACUUGCAAAAGCUCAUUUAAUUAUCCCAACAACUCUUUGAAGAGAUAGUGUUAUUAUCCCCACUAUAAGAAAGGAAACUUAAGAAAAAGAUGUCGAGUGAUUUACACCAAUUAUGCCAUAAGGCACAGAGAAUUCCAGCCCAGUCUUCUCCAGGAACCAUUCUCUGCACUGAAUUGCCUGUUUCGGAAAGCACGCAGUGCUGAAAUUGCAAAGCCAGUGAAGAAACCAAGACACAGAAAAAUUAUUCCAUCUAAGAGCCCACAAAUAGUAAAUAAGGAAGAAAGUAUUUGAACUCAACUAAAGAUGCUUACUCCUUGGAAGGAAAGUUAUGACCAACCUAGAUAGCAUAUUCAAAAGCGGAGACAUUACUUUGCCAACAAAGGUUCAUCUAGUCAAGGCUAUGGUUUUUCCUCUGGUCAUGUAUGGAUGAGAGAGUUGGACUGUGAAGAAGGCUGAGCGCCGAAGAAUUGAUGCUUUUGAACUGUGGUGUUGGAGGAGACUCUUGAGAGUCCCAUGGAUUGCAAGGAGAUCCAACCAGUCCAUUCUAAAGGAGAUCAGUCCUGGGUGUUCUUUGGAAGGAAUGAUGCUAAAGCUGAAACUCCAAUACUUUGGCCACCUCAUGCAAAGAGUUGACUCAUUGGAAAAGACUCUAAUGCUGGGAGGGAUUGGGGGCAGCAGGAGAAGGGGAUGACAGAGGAUGAGAUGGUUGGAUGGCAUCACCAACUGGAUGGACGUGAGUCUGAGUGAACUCCGGGAGUUGGUGAUGGACAGGGAGGCCUGGCGUGCUGCGAUUCAUGGGGUCACAAAGAGUCGGACACAACUGAGCGACUGAACUGACUGAACUGAAUGUGGAUUCAAAACUUAUGCCUUAAGCAUUCUGCUAGGAUGCCUCAAAGAAAACUUACCUUAAGGACCUUUAUUUCUGAUGCCUAACUUUGGGGGGAAAAUGGUAUACCAUAUAUUCAGACAUAUACAAUACUUUCUCUUGGGUUUUCCCAUUGUCCUUUCUCUUAACUGCUAUUGGAGAGCCUUUAUCAGUAGGG
ensembl:lncRNA